rnacentral:lncRNA from 1 species
GGGGGAGGGGCUUCGCAGCACCACUGGAAAACCAAAACGUUUUUACAUUUUGCUUUUUUUGAGGAUGAGUUAAAAAGGAAAGGGGUUGUUUACUGGCCGAUUUAGCAAAAAAAAGAAAUCAGAUCCAUUUAUAAAACAUUGAUGCAUUGAUGAAGCACUAUAGGGUUAAUCCCACCCCCCUUUGCACACUGCCUGAAUGAUACCACCAAUACAAGGCUAUUCAUGACUAAUGUCUAUCUGAAAACUAUAGCUUUAUUAUAAUGAACCACAGUUAAUCUGCUCUAUUCUAGUUUUUUUUAUAAUGUCACUCAAAACAUUAGCCCACAAAACCAAAGACCAAGUAUAAUAUGCUAACAUAUAUAUAUAUUAUGUAAAUUAUCUAUAUGUAAUAUUGGAUUGAAACUACAGGGUUAGCUAACCCACCAAAGACUUAACCACAGAAUGUUCUAGCAAUCUCCCGGUAAAGGACUUCUUUGAGAUCGUCAUAUAGCAUACUUAUGUUAGGAAAUAAAACAUUUGGCUCCAAAUACCUAGUAUUAUCUCCAAUGAUGGAGACAAGUUCUGAUAUGUUUCAGAUGAAUGUUGUUGACACAAAUCCAGGUCAAAAAAAAAAUGUCAAAAGCAGAAAAGACUGACUAUAUACAGGUAUUGAUCUUACCCAUGUCAAUGGAAUAAUAAUUAGUUUAAUAUCCAUGUUUAGCCAGCUUUACAAUUUAGUUGUGCAAUUCUUUUCCCUAGGAACUGAGAACAGAGGGCAGAGAAAUCCUGUAUAGACGGGGUCUACCUCUAGUUAGCCUGCUAUCUGCCUGGGUUUUUUUUUUUUCUCCCAGAAAACCCGGUUGGAAGCUCCCGGAAUCAGGAGGGAAUUAACAGGAAAUCCGGAACCCUCCGCCCAGGAUUUCUGGGAAAACCUAAGAAUUUUGAGAAAGCAACCCUAGUGUGAUUUCAUAACUUGAGAACAGACCAAUAGACAGCAGAUAGAGAGAGAGGCAUGAUAUUAGAGAGGAUGGCUGAAACAUCAUCAGAGAAUCCUCUGAGGGGAGAGGGAGGUUUAGGACUUAAGAGACCUUUCCACAGCCAGCUACUGGCAAGUAUGCAAGCACAACACAUGACCGACACACACAUGACCGACACACACACACACACACACACACACACACACACACACACACACACACACACACACACACACACACACACACACACACACACACACACACACACACACACACACACACCAUUGACUCUUUACAGUGUAAAGUAAAUACUACACGUAGCUCUCUCUCAACAUAUGUCGUGGUCUGUAAACUAUUUGAGCACAAUCUUGAAGCACAUUUUAUUUGCAAUAGAACUGGAGCUGCAGCUCAAUGUAGAAUGUUCUUCACAUAUUAGAAAACUCAGGAUGCCAUUUCUAAACAGAGGCUGAAGAACACUGACUACUACUACUAAUACUACAACUACUACUAAUACUACAACUACUACUAAUACUACAACUACUACUAAUACUACAAUUACUACUAUACUACCCACUCUUGCACACACACAGUAUAGUACUAUACUCUCUAUAGUAUAAUCUCGACAAACCACCCAUGUCCAAAUAAACACUAAAUAGGACAGUAGGCCACAACCCUGAGGAGCCAUUUCCCCCUGUUUCCUAACUUUGUAUUAUAGAAGCUUUCUGGUAAGACUAAAGUUAUUAUUCUACCCUGGCUUAACAUGGUUUAUCUUAACAUAGUAACCAUCAAUUCUAUUUUAAUGACAAUAUCAAUCAGCUGCAAUAACCUCUACUAGUCUCCACUUACCUCCACUAGUCUCCACUAAUCUCCACUAGUCUCCACUAAUCUCCACUAGUCUCCACUAACCUCCCCUAACCUCCACUAGGCUCCACUAGCCUCCACUAUACUCCACUAACCUUCAUUAGUCUCCACUAACCUCCACUAGUCUCCACUAACCUCCACUAGUCUCCACUAACCUCCACUAGUCUCCACUAGUCUCCACUAACCUCCACUAAACUCCACUAACCUCCACUAGUCUCCACUAGCCUCCACUAUACUCCACUAACCUUCAUUAGUCUCCACUAACCUCCACUAUUCUCCACUAACCUCCACUAGUCUCCACUAACCUCCACUAACCUCCACUAGUCUCCACUAACCUCCACUAGUCUCCACUAACCUCCACUAGUAUCCACUAACCUCCACUAACCUCCACUAGUCUCCACUAGUCUCCACUAGUCUCCAUUAGCCUUCACUAGUCUCCACUAACCUCACUAGUCUCCACUAACCUCCACUAGUCUCCACUAGCCUCCACUAAUCUCCACUAGUCUCCACUAACCUCCACUAGCAUCCACUAACCUCCACUAGUCUCCACUAACCUCCACUAGUCUCCACAAUCUCCACUAACCUCCACUAGCAUCCACUAGUCUCCACUAGUCUCCACUAACCUCCACUAGUCUCAACUAGUCUCCACUAACCUCCACUAGCCUCCACCAACCUCCACUAGUCUCCACUAGUCUCCACUAACCUCCACUAGUCUCCACUAGUCUCCACUAACCUCCACUAGUCUCCACUAGUCUCCACUAACCUCCACCAUCCUCUACUAGUCUCCACAAGUCUCCACUAGUCUCCACUAACCUCCACUAGUCUCCACUAGUCUCCACUAACCUCAACUAGUCUCCACUAGCCUCCACUAGCCUCCACUAACCUCCACUAGUCUCCACUAGUCUCCACUAACCUCCACUAGCCUCUACUAGUCUCCACUGGACUCUACUAGUCUUGUAGAGGCAACACCCUGGGCACCAGGCUAAGAAAGAAACAGACCAAGAAACAAACCAGGAAGAGUGUGUCUGUGCCCCAAAUGGCACCUUAUUCCCUAUAUAGUGUAUUACUUUUAGUGCACUGUGUAGGGAAUAGGGUGCAAUUUGGGACGCAGACCCCAGAGUCUGCUUCUUAACUGCUGUGCUGAUACUCCAUCUGUAUGGUACACCAAUGAUGAUUAUAUACACAUGCCUGUGUUGAGGACUCCACUCAACACAGUAGCAACCAUUCAUUAUAUUACACAUUCUGUAAAUAUAUACAACCUGCUACUUUUCAAGUCAACCCCAUACAUAAGAUCUUUAGAGUUCAAUCAUGUCAAACUCGUCUAUCCUUCUAUCAGCCAUCGAUCAAACAACCAAAGCAAAAAGUCCGGUAAGCAGCCCCUUGUCCCGUGGUACACAGGUUUUUUCGUGAUAUAAAAGUGAGCCAAAGGCUUGACGGACCAGAAAUGGACAUUUGAGACUUUUUUCUAUUUAUUGACAAAUCAAAACCAAAGAAACUUUUUCUGCACCUAACUGUUCUACAACAAAACUGUUCUAAAGAGGAAGAUAAUUAUAAAUGUGAGCAGCGAUGAUGAUGAUGAUGAAGAGGAAGAGGAGGAGGACAGACAUCAGGGGGAACGGAGAAGUAGCUUUGUUCUGUUCUGAUUGGUCAGGACAUUUUAAGGGGAAGCAGGAUGAGACUGAAAGGGUUUAAAACACGUGUGGGAACUAUGCCGCUGCGGCAGUUGUUUCCUAAGGCAGAAUGACGUGUCUCUGAAAGUUGGAAGGUUGUCUUUAACGUGUGCCUAUGCAGUUUUUCAAGAAAAAUGGAAAAGAACAACGAAAACCUCAUCAGCUACAAAACCAAAGAUUCAUAAUUAUUCCUACAGAAGUUUUCCCCCAAAGUUUAUUUUCCUGACAAUGUUGACCAUACAUACAGCCACAUAUGUAUACAUGCAUGCAUACCGUAUAGCUAGCGCUACCCAGUACAUGCAUGUAUAGUAGUACAUGUAUGUAUGAUGUUAAGGGUACGCUCCUUCUUCAACAUGACACUGUGUGAUUCAGUAGGUAUGAUGCAUCCUCUCCAUCACUCCCUUUCACUGGACACUGAUUACCUCGGUUCUCCGUCUGUCCAGUCCACUAGGGAUCAUCAUGCCCGGAGGAUUCAGCUGUAUCUGUCACUGCAGUCUGUAGAGAAACAUGAUUCUGUGAAACUAUGUGAAACUACAGUACACACCAAAGAUAACAAAGAGCUGUCUCUCUCUCUCUCUCUCUCUCUCUCUCUCUCUCAUCUAUUCACCUCACUCUCCAGUCCACUGCUGAAUCACAGCGUCCGUGUUAGUGAAGGAGGGUACAGUAGGGGACAGAGGGGUUGGGUGCUCAUAGGCACAUCCUGUAUGACUUUUUGGGGAAAACAAACUCUACUACUCCACACGUUCAAAAUAAGCAAAACCAAAAAUACAAAACAGACUAGUAGUUCAACCUGUUGAGAGAAACUGCUCAAAUAUCGGUCAAAUAGCUUUAUCCUUUUCUAGUUGUCUCUCUGUGAGGCUUCUAGUACAAAGAUGCUCCACCACGGCCCUAGCCCUCUUGGUCCUGGUCCUAGUCCAGGUCCUAGCCCUGGUCCUAGCCCUCUUGGUCCUGGUCCUAGCCCUCUUGGUCCUGGUCCUAGCCCUCUUGGUUCUGGUCCUAGCCCUGGUCUUGAGGCUCGGAGCCUGGUGGAGUCCACUUUCAUACUCAGUCUGGUCUUGAGGAACAUGUACCAAACAUGGGUAUGAAACUAAAAUCCAAAGAGGUUUUCAUUGCUUGUCUUUAGUAUUUAUGUUUGUUUGCCAAUGCCUAAUGUACAAUUAUGUUGUCUUUCCUAGGUUUAUGUAAUAUAUGAUUUUAUUUAUGUAAUUUAUAUUUGUUUUAAUUAAUUGAGAAUUCAUUUAAAAUUGCCAAAUCUCACUUGGAAUCCUUUACCUUGAUAAGUUUACCAAAGUUUACAUUGUUUGUCCUGUUUUCUUUUGAGGAUGCUGUCAAACUAUUUAUUUAUGAGGUGUGUUAGUACACAUGAUCGUUUUUUUACUUAAUUAUUUACUGUUAUUUAAUUAGAUGUAAUUUUUUUGGGGGGGGAUGAAUAUUUAUGGGUAUUUAAGAGAGUUAGAGAAUCAAAGAUGCAGUGCUUCUGUCCUACCCACGUUAAUUUAUUAUUAGUAAAAGCUUUACUUUAAAAAGCAACAAGAGGGUGUUCAAUUGUUUAGUGAAUAAUGACAGAACAAUGUUUUUUUUGUAAUGAAAUAAUGUCAGGGUAGUUGUAACGAUGAAUGUCACCAUUAUAUAAUUAUUAUAACACAUUUAGUUAAAUCUUUUUCCUAUACAGAAUAAUUUUUUUCUCUCCAUUAACUUUAUUCUUCCUGAUGAAAACAAUCUGUUGAUUUUUACAAGAUAAUGAAUGAGCACUGCAUUGUUUUUUUUUUUUCCCUUCUGUGAUUUAUUAUUAAUUCAUUUAUUUGUUUCAUUUGCGAGACCUUUGCAUUAUUCUGUUUACCAAGCAAUGAAUUUCAGACGGAUGUUUGUGCCACUGAUAGAGGAGGGUCGCACGUUGAAUGAGACAGACUCACCAAAGAUAACUGGAGCAUUUGAGAGGUUGGUCGUUGUUUCACUUGAUAACGGAAAACAGAGGAUUCCCUUAAACUAGCUGCUUCCAAGAAUGACUUGUGUAAAAAAAAAAAUCAAAAAAAAAAAAACUAUUUCUAUUUCUAUAGUGAGAACCAAAGAGGCUACCUCACUGACCUUUCCAUUUGUCAUUUUAAUCGUGUUGAUGAAACCAAAGAUACCAAAGAUUUGUUUUCUCUAGUACGGUCUGCGCUUGACCCAUGCUUUCAUUUUGAUAUUAUCUCUCUCUCUCUCUUUCUCCUUCCCUCUCCUUUCUCUUGUUCUCUCAAACACAUGUCUUCUCCUCCCCUAAAAUAAUAGGGACGAAGGGGGAAGGUGAGGGUUAGAGAAGGUGAGGGUGAGGGUGAGGGAAGGUGAGGGUGAGGGUUAGGGAAGGUGAGGGUUAGGGAAGGUGAGGGUGAGGGUUAGGGAAGAUGAGGCUUAGAGAAGGUGAGGGUUAGAGAAGGUGAGGGUUAGGGAAGGUGAGGGUGAGGGUUAGGGAAGGUGAGGGUUAGAGAAGGUGAGGGUGAGGGUGUGUGUCAGGGAUACAUGAUUAAUGCUGGCUUUCAGAAAGCCCUUCACCAGAUCACAGUACACAUUGUGUCCAAACCACACAUUGAGUUGUUGUGACAAACCCCAAAGUUAACGCUGUUUUUGCACUGAAGCAUUGAGACAACAAAGAGGCUGGAUAAAAUACAUCCACAUACUCUAUAUAAAGAAGGUAUGGCUGGAUAAAAUACAACCACAUACUCUAUAUAAAGAAGGUAUAUAUAUAUAUAUAUAUAUACAUACUACUAUAAUUCCCAGACAUCUAGGGAUGAACGUUUAAUCAUUGUUUUUUUUAUUUUUAUUUUUUAUGUAACGGCCAAACAAGCAGUGCCGGAAAAAAGAAAAAAACGUUUUCAUAAAUCUACAAACACAGGAGAGUCAGAAUGAUUAGCCCAAAAACCACAAUGUCCAUCUUAUCACAGUGUCCAUUAUAGUAGCUGUGUUUUUACUAGUGCCUUUGCAAAGAAGGCUACAGUCCAUACAUUUGAAAAUGCUUCCCUCAAUCCCCCAAGUAUCACUCCUAAACAAUCAGACUUAAUGGAAAUAAAACAAUGGACAAUAUACUGUAAAUGGACUUCAAAAGCCACAAUCCUCCUCCCUGCCUACUGUUCCAGUGCAACGUUGUGAUUUUAACCAAACCAAACCAAAGAAACCAAAGGCACUGGUGAAAGGCCUCUCUGAAAGACACAUACCAAAAUGUAACCCUGAUGCAUUCUGGUUCAGACAAGAACAGAACAGCUGUAAUAAUUAUAAUAGCAGUAGUGUACUCCUUGGAACUAAUUCUGUGUUCGUAACCAAGUGGGAGGUGGGAAUAUGCCAGUUGUGAAGUAUUAAAUACCAGUAGGAUGAAUUCACGUGCUUUGAACUCGUUGAGAAACGCAGAUUGGCUAAAGGUCAACAAGCUACUUAACCAUGAACUAAAAGUACAGCUAUCAUGCUCGUUAACAAAUUAUAGUGUUCACAAACCAUAUGAAUAGAUAGCUUUUUAUAAAUAAUGUUUUGUUGUUGCAUUUAACUGCUGGAAAUGCUGUUAUAGAGGCCAUUCUCUUAGUAGGGAGCCACUGAGGCUCCUGAGUGGCGCAGCGGUCUAAGGCACUGCAUCUCAGUGCAAGAGGCAUCACUAAAGACACCCUGGUUUGAAUCCAGGCUGUAUCACAACCGGCUGUGAUUGGGAGUCCCAUAAGGGCGGCGUACAAUUGUCCCAGCGUCGUCCGGGUUUGGCCGGUGUAGACCGUCAUUGUAAAUAAGAAUUUGUUCUUAACUGACUUGCAUAGUUAAAUAAAGUAGGUGAUGUCAAAGGUCAGCAUGCGAGAGAAGUGGGAGGGACGAGUUUCCCCACUAGUAAUUACCAGUUGGAGGGGUCUUCAAUGGGAUUUUUCCCAGUUACAUGUGAGAAAUUCCCACUUCCCACUUGGUUACGAACACAUCAUUAUACUAAUCAUUCUCUAGCUCCUGUUUGGAAAGGUAAUAUGGAGUUGAAAUGAGAGAGAGAGUGAAAUAAUGCUGAAUCUAGUGGGAACUUGGGACCAUUGUCAUCUAUGAAAGUACGGGAGUUCAUCACGUGUUACCACCUUCAUCUAUGUGUAGCCUAUACAAAUUAGCAUAUAAUACAUUAUGCAAAUAUACUUAAGAUAUGGGAGUGGCAACAGUUGAUGUGAGACUCCUGGAACCAUAUGACAAUACUGACUCCAAUGGAUUCUCUCUCUAGAGCUGACAUGAUAGGCUUUUAGGCCUAUAUUACUAAUAGGGUUAGAGGCCUAUAUUACUAAUAGGCUUUUAGGCCUAUAUUACUAAUAGGGUUAGAGGCCUAUAUUACUAAUAGGGUUAGAGGCCUAUAUUACUAAUAGGGUUAGAGGCCUAUAUUACUAAUAGGGUUAUAUGCCUAUAUUACUAAUAGGGUUAUAUGCCUAUAUUACUAAUAGGGUUAUAUGCCUAUAUUACUAAUAGGGUUAGAGGCCUAUAUUACUAAUAGGGUUAGAGGCCUAUAUUACUAAUAGGGUUAGAGGCCUAUAUUACUAAUAGGGUUAUAUGCCUAUAUUACUAAUAGGGUUAUAUGCCUAUAUUACUAAUAGGGUUAAAGGCCUAUAUUACUAAUAGGCUUUUAGGCCUAUAUUACUAAUAGGGUUAAAGGCCUAUAUUACUAAUAGGGUUAAAGGCCUAUAUUACUAAUAGGGUUAUAUGCCUAUAUUACUAAUAGGGUUAUAUGCCUAUAUUACUAAUAGGGUUAAAGGCCUAUAUUACUAAUAGGGUUAUAUGCCUAUAUUACUAAUAGGGUUAUAUGCCUAUAUUACUAAUAGGGUUAAAGGCCUAUAUUACUAAUAGGGUUAAAGGCCUAUAUUACUAAUAGGGUUAAAGGCCUAUAUUACUAAUAGGGUUAAAGGCCUAUAUUACUAAUAGGGUUAUAUGCCUAUAUUACUAAUAGGGUUAAAGGCCUAUAUUCAGCCAGCUAUAUUACUUUUCCACUGGGGCUGCUUUAACAAAGACGUAAACAGCGCUUUUGUUGCAAAGUAUGAGAUAACCAUGGGACGAGUGCCUUGCUUGAACCAAAGCAAAGUGUAGACCUCUCUGUACUUACCUCAGCUUCUAGCUGGCCGUCGCGUUGUUGACUAGUGGACAAUGUAUUAGUCCGGCUCUGUGGUACUUUGCAAUGCAAUCACUAAGCAAACAACUAAGAGAAAUGAUACCAAAGGUUUUCCAAAUAUAUCUGUUUCCUCUUCCUCUUCUUAUUCUACCAAAUGGUUACAAAGCUUUACAUUUAAAAAAAAAAAAAAUGAAAAAAUGAAAAAGUUGUGGCAUGUCAACAGCGCAGAUCGUGCUCUCCUUAAUGUUUUCAGAUAUACCUCAGAGAUACUAGUGGUUAGGGUAAUGUUAUUCUAGCAUAUGUAAUAAAUUAUUAUUUUGGUAACUGUGUGACUUUACGAGACAAAAAAAAAACCAAAAAAAAUCUUGAUACAUUUUAAGUUGUGAUUUCUGUAAUAGUUGAAGAGGUGCGCUUACCAAAAACAAAUGCUUGUCUUUUUUGUGGUUUGGGUUUUUAAUUGUUUCUGGUUUUAUUUUUUUGUUGUUGUUGGAGGGGCUCCGGUUAUUCACUCAGCUUUCUGUAAUGAGGAUAAUUGCAGAUUAAGCCCACAGUUUACAUGUUACAAUGUAAAAAAAAAAAUAGGAAAAAAAAGAGAAAAACCCCCCCGUUCUUAUGACCUAGUUUCUGACCACCAUUUUGUAAAUGUUUCCUUCUUUGUCUUAUGACCUAGUUUCUGACCACCAUUUUGUAAAUGUUUCCUUCUUUGUCUUACGACCUAGUUUCUGACCACCAUUUUGUAAAUGUUUCCUUCUUUGUCUUACGACCUAGUUUCUGACCACCAUUUUGUAAAUGUUUCCUUCUUUGUCUUAUGUCCUAUUCUUCUGUGUUGAAGUGUAGCAUUAUGUUUAGCAACUGCCAAACAACAGUGCUAUAGCCCAGAUUUUAUGCAUGAGUAUAUUUACAAUUAGCUAGCAGUGUAAUGCAUUGUGACUUCAUUACUUUUUAAGUUCAGAAUCCCGUACCACUCUAUGGACUGCAUGUGGUUGCUGAGAGUGUGGCUCAGUUGUGUAUAUAUUGACCCUCCACUGUCAUAGUGUACCCUUUGGGUAAUAAGUGAAUUAGCUGAAGCGUCCAUAUUCUGAGUAGAAGGUUAUGAACACAAGGCUAACUGUUAAUAACAUACUGCACAAGGCUAACACAAGGCUAACUGUUAACAUACUGUCAAAGAGUGACAGAUGAGAUAUAAAUAGAAUGAGUCGAAAACCUGUUCUGAGACCCAUUUUGAGACAGUAGUCCACAACUUUGAUAAUAGCCUUCGUAUAGUAACUUACACAGCGCAGAAUUUGACAUCGAUGGACAAACCAUGUAGUAUUUUGACCAACAACAAUAGACCUGAAAACACAGUAGGAAAAAAAUACAUCUUUCAAAGAAUAUUACGGAAAAAAGACUCAACUUAAUGAUGUCACUGAAGGCACUGUGCCUGACAAUCUAUGCCUCUCUUUGACCUUCCACUUAGCUAACUGACAAAUAAAACCCUCUUAUUAGACAGCAGCACCCAAUCAGUGUCUGAUUAAAAUACCACAAAUGAGUUUAGGAUGAAGUGAUUGUACUGUUACUCUGGUCCUCACUGGGUUAAUAAUUUAAAAAAAUAAUAAUAAUAAUUAAACCACACAUAAAGAGAUCUACAGCAAGGCCACUAACCUACCUCAGGGGGUCGUAGGAGAAGGGUCAGACAGUCCGACGACCACAGGGGGUUAGAGUUCAGAGGUCAGUGUGAUGAUAACCAAAAUAACCUUGAUGAAUCAAAUCACUCGUUCAUUUAGUAGAACAUGAGAAUAUUGAACAAUAACUUUUAACUUUGAUCCAUCAAUCUCACUCUCCACAGUUGGAUUCUCUUAAUGUGUCUAUGCUUGAUACAUACAUGUACGUUGGCUCAGUAAGGGUCUUAUAUAAAGCCUUUUCACACCACUGAGCCGAACCGAACUGAGCCGAGCCAUACUGUACUGACCCGGUUUUGUUCAGGUCGGCAUGAUAGUGUGAAAAGGGGUACUUAGAGAGGAGUGUUUUCUAAACCAAAGGCAAGGUGUUGUUACAAUCUGACGACAAUGGCUAAAUUACACCUGGAAAGGAUGACCUCACAGGAGGUGGUUGAGAAGCCUGGUUCCAGGUCAGUUUGUGUGACAACCACCGUAGGAGUUAGAUAUACAGCACGGACAGAUCUGGGAUCAGGCUCGACUGUGUGGUAGUGGUUGAAUAUUCUAAGCAAAAGCUUCAUUCCAAAGAUGAAAACAAAGCCAAUAUGCUGUCUAUCCCAAAGUAUAAUUAUACAUUUACAAUUUUCUGUAGAUUUUGACUGAUUUGUUUCUGUGUCUGUUUUUUGUAUUUUUAUUUUUUGUAAAAGAAAAACAUGAUUAUUUUUUUUUUUUUUUUUUUUUCUUCUUUAUUUUCAUUAGUUGGAACACGAAUGAGAACUGGUAUUAAAAUUGUGAUGUUGUAUUGGAAUCGUAUGGAUAACCUAUUGAUAAGCAAUUCAAUUAUGAUCAAAAAUGAAGGAAAUAUUCAGAGUUAAUGUUGUUUCGCUUACCCUGUCUCUGUAAAGACAAAAUAAACCCUGUCUCUGUAAAGACAAAAUACAUUUGUCCUCAUGACUUGAAAACCAAAAAUGCAUUUUUCAGAUGAAAAUUAUUGUAUAAGUUUUUUUGUUUGUUCCAUGUCUCAAAUAGACUAUAAAUGUUGCAGUUCUGCAAUGUAUUUUUUUCUUAAAACAAGGAGGGAAAAUAAGACCAUUUAAAAAUAAUGCAUUAGUUUUCUUUCUUUCCUUUGAAUUGAAGUAUUUUGAACAAAGAGAUAGUAACAAUGUAUCGGGCCUGAAUCACUAGACUACCGUAGAACAAUUUAACUACUUUAAAACACACACAAUUCACGUUUACCUGUGUCAAUGAGACCCACAGUAUUUAUAAUAGUGAGUGGGUAGUGAGUGUCCCACUGCCUAAUAUUGCUAGAAGUGAUUUCUGUCGUGGGAAAUAAAGACUGAGAAGAGAUUUCAAAUCCAUGCACUUUGAAACAAGUAUGUCCUAAUGUAAAGCAACAACUAACGUGUAGCAUAAAUGUGCAUUGACGGGGUAAUAUUUUGUUAAAUACAUAAACUUUUAUUUUACCAGGUAAGACUGAGAUGAGUCGAUGUGAUGAAUACCAACAACAUCAUCAACAACAACAGCGAAAUAACACGUACAUACAAUAUGGCUAAAUUCAUUCAUAUGGAACCAGUCUGGAAGGUAACAGUACAGCGACCCUAACCCUAACCUAACCCUAACCUAACCCUAACCCUAACCUAACCCUAACCCAAACCCAAACCCAAACCUAACCCUAACCCUAACCUAACCCUAACCUAACCCUAACCCUAACCUAACC